rnacentral:tRNA from 1 species
AGCGUUCAGAGCAACGGUUACUUCUUUCUGCAAAAAAGAAACGAGGGUGGGUUCGAAUCCCGCCGACGCCG